GUGAAUCAUCAAAUCUUUGAACGCAAAUUGCGCUUCCUGGUAUCCCGGGAAGUAUUCCUGUUUGAGGGUCAGUAUUAAUAAAAACGGUUGUGUUUCUUCUUUGUGACGGUCCGGAGUUUGGGUCAUCUUAAUAUCCUGUAGGUUUUAAGAGGCUUAAAAUUGACUUUUUUUGCGCAUUGUA
rnacentral:misc_RNA from 1 species